rnacentral:misc_RNA from 1 species
GAAAUGCGUUAAGUAGUGUGAAUUGCAGAAUUCAGUGAAUCAUCGAAUCUUUGAACGCACAUUUCGCCCCUUGGUAUUCCAUGGGGCAUGCCUGUUCGAGCGUCAUCUACACCCUCAAGCUCUGCUUGGUGUUGGGCGUCUUUGUCCCGCCUCCGCGCGCGGACUCGCCCCAAAUUCAUUGGCAGCGGUCCUUGCCUCCUCUCGCGCAGCACAUUGCGCUUCUCGAGGUGUUGCGGCCCGCGUCCAGAAAGCAAUCGUUACCGUCUUUGACCUCGGAUCAGGUAGGGAUACCCGCUGAACUUAAGC